rnacentral:misc_RNA from 1 species
GAAGAAGCCCUAGUCCCCAUCCGGAGUCGGCAACUUUCGUCUUCUGGCCUUCUUUCUCUCUCGGUAACAAUGGUGCGUGUGAGUGUUCUGAAUGAUGCUCUUAAAAGCAUGUAUAAUGCUGAGAAACGGGGGAAGCGUCAGGUCAUGAUAAGACCGUCUUCUAAAGUUAUUAUCAAGUUUCUUCUUGUUAUGCAGAAGCACGGAUACAUUGGGGAAUUUGAGUUCGUUGAUGAUCAUAGAUCAGGGAAAAUCGUUGUUGAACUGAACGGGAGACUCAACAAAUGUGGUGUCAUAAGUCCCCGUUUCGAUGUCGGUGUCAAGGAGAUUGAAGGUUGGACUGCUAG